CCCUGUAGCUCAGUUGGUAGAGCAUGGUGUUUGCAAUGCCAGGGUUGUGGGUUCGAUUCCCACAGGGG
rfam:Salmo salar isolate Sally breed double haploid chromosome ssa27, whole genome shotgun sequence.